rnacentral:rRNA from 1 species
ACCGCAAUGGGCGAAAGCCUGACGGAGCAACGCCGCGUGAGUGAUGAAGGUCUUCGGAUCGUAAAACUCUGUUAUUAGGGAAGAACAUAUGUGUAAGUAACUGUGCACAUCUUGACGGUACCUAAUCAGAAAGCCACGGCUAACUACGUGCCAGCAGCCGCGGUAAUACGUAGGUGGCAAGCGUUAUCCGGAAUUAUUGGGCGUAAAGCGCGCGUAGGCGGUUUUUUAAGUCUGAUGUGAAAGCCCACGGCUCAACCGUGGAGGGUCAUUGGAAACUGGAAAACUUGAGUGCAGAAGAGGAAAGUGGAAUUCCAUGUGUAGCGGUGAAAUGCGCAGAGAUAUGGAGGAACACCAGUGGCGAAGGCGACUUUCUGGUCUGUAACUGACGCUGAUGUGCGAAAGCGUGGGGAUCAAACAGGAUUAGAUA